UAAACUACUCAGAGACGAAAGCUGCUUGACCGUGAAAAAUAUUCCCUUCUUGUCUUUCUCGUCAAGAAAGAAAGUGGAUUGAGCUCUCCGAUAGUGGAGAGUGGACUCAUCAUGACUGGAGCCAUCUCGAAAAAUGGACUGUCACCAAUAAAACUACACUCCAUUUCAUUUAACUCGUGGCUUAGAUGUUUGCCAACAUGGGCAUAGAGAUGACCUUUCUUCCUUUCUUCUCGUGAUCCACGGGGGGGGGGUUAGUCACCAGCUUUUUUUUCUGAACUCCCUACCCUACGUUCUUCAGUUCACGACAAAGGAAUGGUUUGAACAAUACGUGUGUGAAAAACAUCUCAAGUUUCUGGAUGUGUUUGAACCGGUCUUGCAUCCAUUCAGGGAGCCAGAGAUGAGCCCGAGUCAGCUGCCAUUAAGGUCAGAUGGAUGUCUUAAAAUGGAUCCUCUCUCUUCCUGGGUCGAGAUGUGACAGACGGGAAAAAGUCGAGGUUCCAAGUUCCAACCUCCAACCUCGCCAAUGGUUCCUUUGGGACCAUCAAGGCUGUCGUCCUUCUUCCACGAUAGAAAGCUUCUCAUUCAGUGGAAGAAAAACACCAUCACAACAACUACCAAAAGUACCGCCUUUGGCUCCACCGCCACUUCGACGAUCGCCAUCAUUUAUAGGGUGCCAUUGCUAAAUUUCUUAUGUCCGAAAAUGUUUCCACAGUUGAAGUACACGGAGCCUUUUGGAGUAUACGUAAAUUAUCGACUGGCAGCGCCAUUGUCCCAAAAACGACCUUACCUGAAAAUAGAAUGAGCCUUGUAUGAGAUCAAGUACAUUUAUCUCUUUUUGCCAAGAACUGAGGAUAUGUAUUUCCUUUGUUAACAUUCCAUCAGACACCAAAUUCUUUUAAAGGUAAGCAAUUCAUUUUUUUGCCAUCUAAGUUUAUGUUUGAAAUAGCUCGUACGAACAACUUCGUUUUAUGAUAAAGUAGGUAAACUGAUAAUUUUUUAUACGAACUGGACUAAUAAAGUUGGUCACCAUUUGAAAAAAUGUACGCUAUUUCAAAUAUUGACCUUUUUUAAUUCCACAGUGAUUGUGCGAAACAAGACAAAAGAGUGUUCAAGUAAUUUGAUGUUCACGUCACAAAAUUGUAUUGUAAUCGAUGUAUCUUACUUGGCUUCCGUUUUAUUUCCUUCUCGUAGAAGGAAAACGGUCUUAAUGACUUGCCCAGCUCAACAAAGAAGCCUCUCCAUGAGCUAAACUUGCCUAAUAUAUAGUACUUUCAGAGGGAAGCCCUUUUGUAUUUAUCACCAUGAGAACCUCUAAAUUAUCUUGUUUUUUCCCCUGCCCUCACGGAAGAUUGCUGAAUGCAUCGUUUCUUGCGUGCAAUGCUUAAUGUCGCUUGGACGAUGAUAUCUGGUUGAUGGAACACGAGAACAAAUAGGGCGAUAAUUUGUUUUGACCUCAAAGUUGGAAAACUAAGCUAUCCUUGGGGAAAUUCACCUGGCACCCCCAAAGAUCUGGCACCCGUUUGUAACCUCAAGAGACUCACUGAGCUGAGCGGCGAGCGGACAAAAGGCCACACAGAUCCAAGAAUUCCCAUCCACAUCGGUCUACUACAUUGAAGGUACAGUGGCCUCCACCCUAUUUGGGCUACACAUCAUGGGAUCCAUCCCUCAUGCUAUCAAGCCACCUUUCAUGGCCGUCCAAAGUGCAAAUGGAAAGUAACGCGAGCCUCACGUCGAAGCCUCAACGCUUCUUUUGUCAUUGAUGUCAUGUGAACCAAUCCAUCCAUGGGGAACCAUUACCGCCAGCCACCAUUCAAUGGGGAUGGACGUGGAACGUCACAAGCACAGUACACUCGAACGGACCAAAUCCAUAACAUUGCUGGAUAAGGAUGGAGCCUUCCCCAUCUGUGGAGUUGGCCGAAUCUGACAUGUGGGAACUGGGAAAGACCGUAUGCUAAUCAGAUUUAACUUUUGACUGGACCAGAAUUUGAAGCGGAAAAACCAAGCAAUUCAAUUCACGCACAAAACCAUCCUGUGGAAAUUCCAAAUUCCCAUUGCCGAAAACAAACACACGCAUUGUUCCAGUCAAGGGAACGAACCACUUACGAUGAUGGAGCAUCUGUUCCAGGGCCAAAACAUUCCAAGAAAUGGCUACAAGAGCGGGGAUUGUUAUUGUUAGUGAUGGUUUUAUAUCCUGAUUUGGAGGCUAAACCUAAGAAAUCCGAAACUAUUGGCCAAGUUUCUAAUGUAGGGUGCACGUUACUUGUUUGAAAUUAUGAAAAAUCACAAAGAUCGAAAUGGGACGCAGGACCGAUGAUGGGAUGGAGAGGAAAUGGUAUUCCCCCUCUUUGUAUUUGAGGUGGCAACGACAUCUCUCAAGGGAGCCAAAAAGUCAGUUGAGAGCUUGAAAAUGACAGUGACAGAUGGUUUUAUUUAGGUAUAAUUAGUUUUGGCGGACUGAACUGUGAGUGGUGGGAGGAAGCAGGAAAAUAUUGGGUGCCAGAAUCCCUGCAGGAAAUUUGAAAGCCACUUCUGAAAAUGCCCAGCGACGUGGCUCCAUUCCAAGUGAUGGCCUUAUCUCUGAGAGACCACUCGUGGAUGAUGAAAUGCAAGGUGAGUGCCAAGAUCUUCAUUUUCGGACUAUCUCUCGCCCACUCAAUGAUUCAUUUUGAGGUGAACAUCGCCAAACAAGGACCAACUUGGAGGAGGAAACUUGAAAUACUCGCAUUGCUCUUGCAGUUGAAUUUUGAAAGAGCAAAAUGCGAAACAGUUCCGUGAGUCCAAGUUACUGACUUGCGCACUGAACUCUGGCUCUUUGUAAGAAUCACGCAACCUAGUCAAAAUCCUCUGGGAAUUUGCACCAGCCUUCAUUCAGUCCAAUAAAAAGUCAA